AGUGAACGCUGGCGGUAGGCCUAACACAUGCCAGUCGAACGGCAGCACAGUAAGAGCUUGCUCUUACGGGUGGCGAGUGGCGGACGGGUGAGGAAUACAUCGGAAUCUACUUUUUCGUGGGGGAUAACGUAGGGAAACUUACGCUAAUACCGCAUACGACCUACGGGUGAAAGCAGGGGAUCUUCGGACCUUGCGCGAUUGAAUGAGCCGAUGUCGGAUUAGCUAGUUGGCGGGGUAAAGGCCCACCAAGGCGACGAUCCGUAGCUGGUCUGAGAGGAUGAUCAGCCACACUGGAACUGAGACACGGUCCAGACUCCUACGGGAGGCAGCAGUGGGGAAUAUUGGAUAAUGGGCGCAAGCCUGAUCCAGCCAUACCGCGUGGGUGAAGAAGGCCUUCGGGUUGUAAAGCCCUUUUGUUGGGAAAGAAAAGCAGCAGGUUAAUACCCCGCUGUUCUGACGGUACCCAAAGAAUAAGCACCGGCUAACUUCGU
rnacentral:rRNA from 1 species